GGCAGGUCGAGCGGACAGAUGGGAGCUUGCUCCCUGAUGUUAGCGGCGGACGGGUGAGUAACACGUGGGUAACCUGCCUGUAAGACUGGGAUAACUCCGGGAAACCGGGGCUAAUACCGGAUGGUUGUUUGAACCGCAUGGUUCAAACAUAAAAGGUGGCUUCGGCUACCACUUACAGAUGGACCCGCGGCGCAUUAGCUAGUUGGUGAGGUAAUGGCUCACCAAGGCAACGAUGCGUAGCCGACCUGAGAGGGUGAUCGGCCACACUGGGACUGAGACACGGCCCAGACUCCUACGGGAGGCAGCAGUAGGGAAUCUUCCGCAAUGGACGAAAGUCUGACGGAGCAACGCCGCGUGAGUGAUGAAGGUUUUCGGAUCGUAAAGCUCUGUUGUUAGGGAAGAACAAGUACCGUUCGAAUAGGGCGGUACCUUGACGGUACCUAACCAGAAAGCCACGGCUAACUACGUGCCAGCAGCCGCGGUAAUACGUAGGUGGCAAGCGUUGUCCGGAAUUAUUGGGCGUAAAGGGCUCGCAGGCGGUUUCUUAAGUCUGAUGUGAAAGCCCCCGGCUCAACCGGGGAGGGUCAUUGGAAACUGGGGAACUUGAGUGCAGAAGAGGAGAGUGGAAUUCCACGUGUAGCGGUGAAAUGCGUAGAGAUGUGGAGGAACACCAGUGGCGAAGGCGACUCUCUGGUCUGUAACUGACGCUGAGGAGCGAAAGCGUGGGGAGCGAACAGGAUUAGA
rnacentral:rRNA from 2 species